AUUAGAACAUUAAGACCAAUACAAAAUAUUUUUUUUAGAAAUGUUGACCAAAUGAAAACAUGAACAUGUACAGUACUUAGUUGGGGCUCCUUUUGUCUUAAUUACAGCAGCAAUGCAGCGUGGCAUGGAGUCCAUCAGUCUGUGGCACUACUCAGGUGUUAUGAGCCCAGGUUGCUCUGAUAGUGACUUUCAGGUCUUCAACCUGGAGUAUCACAUCUAUCUCUUCACAAUACCACAUAGAUUUUCUAUGAAAACAGGUUUGCUGGCUAAUUAAGAACAGGGAUGCCAAGGUCCUUAAACCAGGUACUGGUAGCUUAGGCACUGUGUGCGGGUGCCAAGUCCUGUUGGAAAAUUAAAUCUGCAUCUCCAUAAAGUUGGUUAGCAGCAGGAAGCAUGAAGUGCUCUAAAACUUCCUGGAAGAUGGCUGUUUGACCUUGAGAAAACACAGUCGACCAACACCAGCAGAUGACAUGGCACCCAAACCAUCACUGACUGGGGAAACUUUGAAUGGACCUCAAGCAACAUGGAUUCUGUGUCUCUACUUUCUUCCUCCAGACUUUGGGACCUUGAUUUCUAAAGGAAAUGCAAAAUUAAUUUUCAACAGAAAACAUAAUUUUGGACCACUGAGCAGCAAUUUUUCUCUUCAGCUCAGAUGAGACACUUCUGAUGCUGUCUCUUGUUCAGGAGUGGCUUUGACACAAAGAAUGCAACAGCUGAAAUCCAUGUCUUGCAUAUGUCUGUGUGUGGUGGUUCUCUGAAGCACCGACUCCAGCUGCAGUUCACUCUUUGGGAAUAUUCCCCACAUUUAUAAAUGGAUUUUAUUUCACAAUUCUCAAGAUGUGGGUAUCCCUAUUGCUUGUACACUUUUUUCCUACCAUAAACUUUACUUCCUUUCACCUCUCUAUCAAUAUCUUUGGACACAGAGCUCUGUCAACAGUCAGUCUCUUUAACAAUGACCUUUUGUGACUUGACCUCCUUGUGCCAAUGGUCAUCUUUUGGGUAACCGUCAAGUCAGCAGUUUUUCCCAUGAUUGUGUAGCCCAGUGCUUCACAAUCUGUUCUUUUGGUCAUGACCUAAAGCUCAUGAUCAUAGCUCUUUCUUCACCACGACAGACCAGUACAGCCCCCCCUUCACUGCAGACGCUUGUGAAUUUCCCACUCCAUUUUUUCCCCUUAUUCGUGAACAAGAUCCCAAAAUACCUAACCUCCUCCUCUUGGGCCAGGACAUCCCCCCAACCUGGAGAAGGCAGUCUACCCUUUUCCGGCUCAAGACCAUGGCCUCAGAUUUGGAGGCACUGAUCCUCAUUCUGGCUGCUUCACACUCUGCUGCGAACCACUCCAGUGAAAGCUGUAUAUCAUGACCUGAUGAAGUCAGUAGGAGGCUUUAUGGAGAUGAU